CCUACGGGUGGCAGCAGUGGGGAAUAUUGCGCAAUGGGCGAAAGCCUGACGCAGCGACGCCGCGUGAGGGAUGAAGGUCUUCGGAUCGUAAACCUCUGUCAGCAGGGAAGAACGGUCACUGUGCUAAUCAGCAGUGAAUUGACGGUACCUGUCGAAUAAGCCACGGCUAACUACGUGCCAGCAGCCGCGGUAAUACGUAGGUGGCAAGCGUUGUCCGGAUUUACUGGGUGUAAAGGGCGUGUAGCCGGGUUGACAAGUCAGAUGUGAAAUCCUGCGGCUUAACCGCAGAACUGCAUUUGAAACUGUUGAUCUUGAGUACUGGAGAGGCAGACGGAAUUCCUAGUGUAGCGGUGAAAUGCGUAGAUAUUAGGAGGAACACCAGUGGCGAAGGCGGUCUGCUGGACAGCAACUGACGGUGAGGCGCGAAAGCGUGGGGAGCAAACAGGAUUAGAUACCCCAGUAGUC
rnacentral:rRNA from 1 species